rnacentral:lncRNA from 1 species
UCUGUCCUUCUUUCUUUUGCCCUUUCUUUCUUUCUCUCCCAUCCCUUCCCUUCUCUCCUUCUUUCAAGCCGAAUAUGAUCAAUCACCGAUCGCAUUUGACCAGAUCCAACACAGGUAGGCCAGUAAAGAUGAAAAAUAAGCCAAAUUUGUUGCGCGAUUGAGGUGGAUCCGACCUAUUUCAAGCUGAUUCCAACACGUUUAAGGACACUUCCAGCAUACUUUAAUGCCAUUUCCAGCCUAUUGGCGUCGAAUUUAGACUAUGAUUAGCCAAUCCUCUUGAAAAAGAGGAG